AUUGAACGCUGGCGGCAGGCUUAACACAUGCAAGUCGAGCGGGGGAAGGUAGCUUGCUACCGGACCUAGCGGCGGACGGGUGAGUAAUGCUUAGGAAUCUGCCUAUUAGUGGGGGACAACAUCUCGAAAGGGAUGCUAAUACCGCAUACGUCCUACGGGAGAAAGCAGGGGAUCUUCGGACCUUGCGCUAAUAGAUGAGCCUAAGUCGGAUUAGCUAGUUGGUGGGGUAAAGGCCUACCAAGGCGACGAUCUGUAGCGGGUCUGAGAGGAUGAUCCGCCACACUGGGACUGAGACACGGCCCAGACUCCUACGGGAGGCAGCAGUGGGGAAUAUUGGACAAUGGGGGGAACCCUGAUCCAGCCAUGCCGCGUGUGUGAAGAAGGCCUUAUGGUUGUAAAGCACUUUAAGCGAGGAGGAGGCUACUUUAGUUAAUACCUAGAGAUAGUGGACGUUACUCGCAGAAUAAGCACCGGCUAACUCUGUGCCAGCCGUCGCCGCAG
rnacentral:rRNA from 1 species